CCGCGUAGCUCAGUUGGAAGAGCAUUGGGCUGGUAUUCCAAAGGUCGUAGGUUCGAAUCCCACCGUGGCCG